rnacentral:rRNA from 1 species
UACGUAGGCAGCGAGCGUUGUUCGGAGUUACUGGGCGUAAAGAGUGCGUAGGCGGUUUUCUAAGUUUGGUGUGAAAUCUCCCGGCUUAACUGGGAGGGUGCGCCGAGAACUGGAAGGCUUGAGUAUGGGAGAGGUAAGCGGAAUUCCUGGUGUAGCGGUGAAAUGCGUAGAUAUCAGGAGGAACACCUGCGGUGUAGACGGCUUACUGGACCAUAACUGACGCUGAGGCACGAAAGCGUGGGUAGCAAACAGG